rnacentral:rRNA from 1 species
UGCAGUUCGAGGGGUAGAGAGAGCUUGCUUUCUUGAGACCGGCGCACGGGUGAGUAACGCGUAUGCAACCUACCUUAUACUGGGGGAUAGCCCAAAGAAAUUUGGAUUAAUACCGCAUAAUAUAUUUGAAUCGCAUGGUUURAAUAUUAAAACUCCGGUGGUAUAAGAUGGGCAUGCGUAGCAUUAGUUUGUUGGUGAGGUAACGGCUCACCAAGACUAUGAUGCUUAGGGGGUCUGAGAGGAUAGUCCCCCACACUGGUACUGAGACACGGACCAGACUCCUACGGGAGGCAGCAGUGAGGAAUAUUGGUCAAUGGACGCAAGUCUGAACCAGCCAUGUCGCGUGCAGGAUGACGGCCCUAUGGGUUGUAAACUGCUUUUUUACAGGAAUAAUUGCAGGUACGUGUACCUGUUUGAAUGUACUGUAUGAAUAAGGAUCGGCUAACUCCGUGCCAGCAGCCGCGGUAAUACGGAGGAUUCGAGCGUUAUCCGGAUUUAUUGGGUUUAAAGGGUCCGUAGGCGGCUUUUUAAGUCAGUGGUGAAAUCCCAGAGCUCAACUCUGGAACUGCCAUUGAAACUGAAGAGCUUGAAUAUGGUUGAGGUAGGCGGAAUACGUUAUGUAGCGGUGAAAUGCAUAGAUAUAACGUAGAACACCAAUUGCGAAGGCAGCUUACUAAACCAUUAUUGACGCUGAUGGACGAAAGCGUGGGGAGCGAACAGGAUUAGAUACCCUGGUAGUCCACGCCGUAAACGAUGAUUACUCGUUGUGCACAAUACACCGUGCGUGACUGAGCGAAAGCAUUAAGUAAUCCACCUGGGGAGUACGUUCGCAAGAAUGAAACUCAAAGGAAUUGACGGGGGCCCGCACAAGCGGAGGAACAUGUGGUUUAAUUCGAUGAUACGCGAGGAACCUUACCUGGACUUAAAUGUAGAUUGACCGGUUUAGAAAUAGAUCUUCCCUUCGGGGCAAUUUACAAGGUGCUGCAUGGUUGUCGUCAGCUCGUGCCGUGAGGUGUCGGGUUAAGUCCCAUAACGAGCGCAACCCCUAUCGUUAGUUGCUAGCAGGUAAUGCUGAGGACUCUAGCGAGACUGCCACCGUAAGGUGAGAGGAAGGUGGGGAUGACGUCAAAUCAGCACGGCCCUUACGUCCAGGGCUACACACGUGUUACAAUGGCCAGUACAAAGGGCAGCUACCUGGUGACAGGAUGCUAAUCUCAAAAGCUGGUCUCAGUUCGGAUCGGAGUCUGCAACUCGACUCCGUGAAGUUGGAUUCGCUAGUAAUCGUAUAUCAGCAAUGAUACGGUGAAUACGUUCCCGGGCCUUGUACACACCGCCCGUCAAGCCAUGGAAGCCGAGGGUGCCUGAAGUACGUACCGC